rnacentral:lncRNA from 1 species
CAAACUUUCUUGUUCAUCAGGCAAACUUCCGGGGGUGAACGUCCCAAGGACUGCUUGAUAUUUCAAUUAUUACUGGUUUUUCGGAAAUGACAACCCAUCUCAAACACUGGUGCCUGCUGCUGAUAAAAUAACUUGUUCUCUUGAGUGACAAAAUGCCAAGGAACUGAAAGAUAGCUAUUUGCUCUCAUUUAAAGAAGAAUAAAUCCACACUAUGUCACUACCAAUGGAUGUGGAAUAUAGCAGCCUCACAUGCAUUUCUCUUAUGGCAGUUGGCUACAAAGGGUUUUGGGAAAGACAUGAGAAACUGAAGAAAGAAGGAGGAUUGGGAGCACAGAAAUAUGACUUUGUUAGACAACAUGCUAUAAAGCUGAAUAUACCAUUCAAAGUGUAACUACUGUCCCCAACAGGAACUUCCAUACCUUUUCAUUGCAAACUCUCUUCUGCCCCACAUGAAUAUCAGAAUGGUGAAUGUAGUGAAAUUUAUGUAAGUUUGUGUGAAAAAAAUGAAUAGAAAUGGAGAGAAAGGAUUCAAAAUGAUGUGCCUAUGAUUCUUUGGCUUAAGAGUAAGUGAUUAACAUGAAAAUUGCAGUUAUCAAUAUGAUGAAUUUUGUUUGAAGUUUGAGUUUGUGAACUUUCUUAGGCUGAGAAAGAUUUUUCUUAUAGAAAGGAAAUAUUUAUAGUUUAAGGUAUUAUAAAGGAAAUUGGGAGGUUGAGAGUACAUGAUUCUAGGGCUAUAGCCUGAGUAUUGGGUGUGUAUACUGCACCACAUUUAGAAGAGUGCCAUUCAUAGAUUAAAUAUUUACCAACUCAUACUAGCAUGCAAGCUGACUUGUACAUUUCUAGAUAUUGGGUUGCAUCUACUUAAGAAAUCCCUUCCACAUAAGUAUAUACUUGCAUGUAUGACUCUGUGGACAGAAGAUGUUCCUCAUGCCUGUUAGGUCCCUUCCAUCAAUUACUCGAUGCUUUUGGAUCCUCUGUAAUUUCCACUCUCCACCCUCAUUCCAGAAAAAUUGACUCUGACAUAAUUGAUUGAUUUUAUCACUUUGAGCCAGAGGUGGAAGUGGCCUGAAAUUUAGGUUCUUCAUACCUGAUGGAAGUGUGAACUGAUGAAAUUUGGUAUAAAGAAGUCAAAUACAUCCAUUUAAUCUCCAAAUACACCUGUGUAAGCAUUGGUAAAUAGCAUGAGUAAAUGAUUUUAAUCCUCCAAAUGUGUGAAAGCUAACCUGUAAAAAAAGUACUUAAAACUGAGAAUGGGUGCCCUAAGUUGUACCAAAUGACUGAUUUGCCUUAUUUAGUAAAAGAAUAAAACAAGCCCAUGACUUGGCUUCAUCAAAAUGUCAAAUCUGAAACCUUGGGGUCUUAUUAAAAUUUUCUCACCUACACUCUUACUGUCAGUCUGUUUCCAUGUCCCAUAAUUAUAUCUCCUGAAAACAUUUCCCACCUCUAUGCUUUUACAAUCAUAUUGCUAGAAAUUUAUUCCAGACUCUGCU